CGCGCCGGGCUAAACUGGCGUGCGUGUGGCGAUGAGGGUCUUAAUGAAUUUGCAGCCGGCUAACCUCCCCGUGGUUAAACAACAUGGCAAACUCACGCUGGGAACACCCCGGAGGCAAUUUAGGAACAAAAAGUACCUUGAAGGAACGCCUACAGCGCUUUAAGUCUGCAAAUGAUUGU
ensembl:misc_RNA predicted gene, 27960